GGCGUUAGACAGAGUAAAAUGCUAAAGUAGGGUGCAUCGCCACUCAAUGGGUUAUUACUCCCACCCUGCCACCGUGGGUGGAAUGAUUUUUUGGCUUAGUGAAAUCUCUGACUCUGUUAUAAGUUAAUUGCACACACCUUGAUACAGGCCCAUCUACAUGAUACAACUAAUCUGAUUCUAUCCCGGCAUAUAGGAUUCUUAUACUGGCAUACUGUAUGUAUGCCAGAGACACAGAUUUUC